rnacentral:rRNA from 1 species
UGGGGAAUUUUGGACAAUGGGCGCAAGCCUGAUCCAGCCAUGCCGCGUGCGGGAAGAAGGCCUUCGGGUUGUAAACCGCUUUGUCAGGGAAGAAAUCUUCUGAGUUAAUACCUCGGGAGGAUGACGGUACCUGAAGAAUAAGCACCGGCUAACUACGUGCCAGCAGCCGCGGUAAUACGUAGGGUGCAAGCGUUAAUCGGAAUUACUGGGCGUAAAGCGUGCGCAGGCGGUUUUGUAAGACAGAGGUGAAAUCCCCGGGCUCAACCUGGGAACUGCCUUUGUGACUGCAAGGCUUGAGUGCGGCAGAGGGGGAUGGAAUUCCGCGUGUAGCAGUGAAAUGCGUAGAUAUGCGGAGGAACACCGAUGGCGAAGGCAAUCCCCUGGGCCUGCACUGACGCUCAUGCACGAAAGCGUGGGGAGCAAACAGGAUUAGAUACCCUGGUAGUCCACGCCCUAAACGAUGUCAACUGGUUGUUGGGAAGGUUCCUUCUCAGUAACGUAGCUAACGCGUGAAGUUGACCGCCUGGGGAGUACGGCCGCAAGGUUGAAACUCAAAUGAAUUGACGGGGUCAUAGCUGUUU